AAGACUAUAGACCUGCGGAGUACCUGCGGAAGGAUCAUUACCGAGUUAGGGUUCCUCUCACGGGCCCGACCUCCCAACCCUGUGUCUAUCACACCUUGUCGUUGCUUCGGUGGACCGGUUCGGGGACUUUUGUUUCUGGCCGCCGGGGGUGUUUUUCACCCCGGGAGAGCGUCCGCCGAUGGCCCAACCACAACUUCUUUGUUCUAAACCUGUCGUCUAAAUCAAGCUUGAUAAUAAUCA
rnacentral:misc_RNA from 1 species